GUUUGCACUUGUCGGGGAAGGGUGAGAACCUUCGAUUAAGGUUCGACUUGAGCGAAAGCGAGAGAACGUUGCCAACGGCAACGGCCCGUAGGUUGAGGAGCGAAGCGACGAAUAAUCCUCCCCCACCACCA
rnacentral:sRNA from 1 species